rnacentral:rRNA from 1 species
GACGAACGCUGACGGCGUGCUUAACACAUGCAAGUCGAACGAUGAACCCGGAGCUUGCUCCGGCGGAUUAGUGGCGAACGGGUGAGUAACACGUGAGUAACCUGCCCUUGACUCUGGGAUAACUGCUAGAAAUGGUAGCUAAUACCGGAUACGACCCUCGGUGGCAUCACCAGGGGGUGGAAAGAAUUUCGGUCAAGGAUGGACUCGCGGCCUAUCAGCUAGGUGGUGAGGUAACGGCUCACCAAGGCGACGACGGGUAGCCGGCCUGAGAGGGUGACCGGCCACACUGGGACUGAGACACGGCCCAGACUCCUACGGGAGGCAGCAGUGGGGAAUAUUGCACAAUGGGCGCAAGCCUGAUGCAGCAACGCCGCGUGAGGGAUGUCGGCCUUCGGGUUGUAAACCUCUUUUAGUAGGGAAGAAGCGAAAGUGACGGUACCUGCAGAAAAAGCACCGGCUAACUACGUGCCAGCCGCCGCAGUAG